rnacentral:rRNA from 1 species
AUUGAACGCUGGCGGCAGGCUUAACACAUGCAAGUCGAGCGGAGUGAUGGUGCUUGCACUAUCACUUAGCGGCGGACGGGUGAGUAAUGCUUAGGAAUCUGCCUAUUAGUGGGGGACAACAUCUCGAAAGGGAUGCUAAUACCGCAUACGUCCUACGGGAGAAAGCAGGGGAUCACUUGUGACCUUGCGCUAAUAGAUGAGCCUAAGUCGGAUUAGCUAGUUGGUGGGGUAAAGGCCUACCAAGGGGACGAUCUGGAGCGGGUCUGAGAGGAUGAUCCGCCACACUGGGACUGAGACACGGCCCAGACUCCUACGGGAGGCAGCAGUGGGGAAUAUUGGACAAGGGGGGGAACCCUGAUCCAGCCAUGCCGCGUGUGUGAAGAAGGCCUUAUGGUUGUAAAGCACUUUAAGCGAGGAGGAGGCUCUUUUGGUUAAUACCCAAGAUGAGUGGACGUUACUCGCAGAAUAAGCACCGGCUAACUCUGUGCCAGCCGCCGCGGUAA